rnacentral:lncRNA from 1 species
GGAGGGUGAGGCUGGACUUUUCAUGGUAUACAGCAGUCUUCUUUAGAUCACGAAGUAUUAUGUUACUUAUGUAUAGUUGUCAGACGAAGAGUAGUUUAGAAGGUAAAAAUGUAGAAUUUGAAGUAAAAUUCUGAGGACAUGUACUGUUUUGGGAGCACCAAAACACAAGUAACAGAUUCACUUUUAUUUGUUUGAAUGUUGGAGUUGAAGUUAUGUUCGACCAUACUUUUUGCAAAGAAUAAUAUGAGACUCAUUUGAUCAUGAGAAUCUUUUACUUUUUUCUGGCCAAAUGAGUCCUUAAAGAACUAAAAAAGGCAGCAUGUUGCAAAUCCAUAAAGCAAACAUGGGUAGAAUCAUUCUUUUAAGGCAUGUCCAAUCACUAGCAAUGAUGCUAAAUGGGGUUUCAAGAUCAAUCGAAUCACAACAUUAAAGACAGAUAGAAGAAAGUGUGUGCCAUGUGUGGUUAGGUCCUACCUAUUCUCCAGACACCAGGAAUGUUCCAAUAUUCAAGUUUCAAUUUCCAAAAAUGAUGUUUAAAAAUUGAACUCCCUUUUUCUUUUUACUAAUAAUCCUAUUUUGUUUAAUUGAAAGAAUAUAUCCUGUUGUUGAUAUUGUGCUGAAUUUUGCCAAAGGGUAGGGCUUAGCCAUGGAUUACUGGGGCAUUAUUACCUUGGGAACUAAUAUUCAUAUUCUAUCACAUUUUCCCAUCUGCCUAAACUUAAGUGUUUGGUGAGCGAUACUUUCUCCGUAUACAUUUUUUAUUUUAUACGGUUAUUAAAAAAUUAUUAAUAAAUUGAUCAACUUUACUACUUUCCCCUUUGUUCAUAUUAAUUAGCCUCUUAAAAAAAGAAAUUUUGGAUCUUCAAAAUUUAUUUAAACUUCCAAAGUCAUAACCCAUAUUAAUGUGAAAAUUACAGAAAUAUACUACUUAAGAUUUUAAUUUACAAUAUAUGCAUAUACUUUUAUUUAAUUACAAAUGUAGUUUAUAAAUUACCAACAUAACAGAUUAAUUAUUUUUUAUUUUAAUUUAAUUAUUUAAUUUCGAUUUUCUUCUCUCCUAUUUUUGGGAUUAUGUGCCUUAUUUAUCUCUCCAAUUAAAGUUCUUAAUACACACGUUUCUACCUUUCAAAUAUUAUUUUGUUUUUUUCCUUUUUAUUCAAUCAAUGUAAAGUAAAAGUCUUUUAGGUUUCCAACAAUUCACUCUUUUCUAAACUUCAUUAUCCCCUGUGCAGUUUUCAUUGAGAGAAAUUUUAACCAUUGUUUUUCUCUCUUCCGUUCAUAUUGAUCAUUUUCAUAUUUCAUCACUUCUCUCAUUAGUUCAUCACUUGCACCAUUUUUAUAUUUCCUCUUAAGUUCAUCACUCAAUAUUCUAUCUUCGUAUUUCGAUCAAUAUGGUUAGGAUGCCCCAAAAAAAUUCUGAAGAUUGAAACCAGUACUGUUAGUGAAUGUGAACCAAUUGGAUGAUGCAGAAAUUAAUUCGAAAGGGGGAGGACUAAAAAGGAGCAUGUUCUGUUAACGCUUAAUUUUAUGAAAUAUGUUGUUGAAUUUUUGUUCUUUACAAAAUGUUUUUGUUACACUUUUGGAUGUCACUUUAAUUGGUAUUUUUGAUAAGUUUUUAUGCCUAUUUUGCGUUCAAUUAUCACCACUUAUUUGCAUACAUUUUACACCAAUAUUACGAAAAAUAUAUCAUUUUGGUGCUUAUAUUGUGUUCAAUGAACUGACAAAUACAUUUACUUGUUUGUAUUUAUAUUUGUCAAAAUGUGUGUAAUUGUCGUCUCAAACUAUUUUUUAAAGCCAAUUAGAUGUAUUACAUAUUUAUUGUGUGAGGUUAGUAUAUAAUACCAACAAUUCAGCCAUUAUAUAUCACCAAUUAAUUUGAACAUUUGUAUCGUAUUUCAUCAAGAAAAUAACAAUGUAGUAAAUCAAUAUGCCAUCACCAAUGUUACAACAACAAUUACACCAAUUAUAUGAAGUGAGCCUUAAUAUGAUUUAGUCAAUCACUUUCGAAUAUUUCAUCAAUAUUACAAAAAUCACACCAAUAUAAGUUUUUACAGUAAUUUUUUCACAAAAAUAUGAAUUAUACAAACAAGCAAACAACAAUGAUAUAAUAAUCAAUACACCAAUAAUACGAAUUAGCCAAUCAACAUUAACCAAUAUUGGAUUAAACUGCAAUUAACAUUCAUUAAAAACAUCUAAAUUUCAACAAAAGCACAAAAGAUUCAACUACAUACUUGUUUAAAUAAAAUCAAAACAAAAAGAAAACACCAAUGUUAAUUCUGAGGUGGAUAUCGUUAUGAAUCUUCAUUGGUGGAGAUGGAACUCUCACGACAUGUUUAAGUUCUAACUCUAAAAUGGUCGUGUCCACACCCAAUUGGGAAGUAAUUGUAGUAACUAAGCCAUCGUAUUUGGUGUUCACGUCAUAAAUCACUCCUUCUAUAUUGUAAUCCAAGUACUUAUACCUGUGUAACAUUAUAAUUUAUUGUUAAUCAAUCUCCAAAAUAAUUUUGGACAACAUAAAAUACACUAUCAACUACGCCAACAAAUGAACCAAAAAACCACCAUGAAAAUUUCAAAAUGAUUGACGAGACCUAAAUUAGUUGUAUAGAUCAACAUUUUCACCAAAUCAUUUACCAAUAAAAUACCAACAAUUUCAUUGUAUUUAAACACCCAAAAACAAACUACAUAAUGCACUUGAUAUGAUUUUUGGUGUUUAUAAAAAUAUAAUACACAAUAUCAAUUACACCAAAUCAUCUACACCAUCUACACUAUCAUGUUACACAUAAUAAUAAUCUACCAUCACAAAUCAACAAGCAUUAUAACCAAUUUAAUAUUUCUUCAACUUUGUUAUCUAUACCAAAUCAGACGACUAAAUACACCAAUAGAUGUACCAAAAUAUUAACUUUGAUGUUUGUGUUUAUAUAAGGUCCAAAAUAUACCAAUUAAACCUGAUUACAUACCAUAUAUAGUUUGUAAAUUAUUGUGUUUUCUAUAGACAAAAGAUACGUAAGUGCACUAAUCAAUUACACCAAAUAUUAUACCAAAAAGUAUUCACUGAAUUAGACGUUUAAUAACCACCAAAGUUGAUUUUUCUAUACGACCUAGUAUAUAACAUUCACACCAAAGAUAAUUACUAUAUCGGACGUUUAAUAUUUCUUCAAUUUAUUAUGGGAAAAUACAUUUUAAAAAAACCCUGAACUUGGCACGAAAACUUACUUUAGUACUUAAACUACAUGGGUGUUUAUAUACCUCCCUUAACAUCUUUUAUGUGAAUUAUUUUCAACCCUUCGAACACCAGCCCAGUUGAAGGCUGGGCAUUGUUACACACGCGCAUUUUCAUUGGUCCACGUCGCUAGGGGUUUUAAAAAUAUCUUACCCAUUUUAUAUAACCCACCCGUUCCCAAAAUACAACCCGACCCAUUUUUAAACAAAUAUCCCUAAAUCUCUCUCAAAUCUAAAGACCUAAUUUGAAGAAUAACAAGUCAUUAGCGUGAAGGAUUUGCUGAGUUUAGGGUUUUCGUGAAGAAACAAAGGAUUUGCGUGAAGAAACAAAGUUACUAGGUUAGUAAAUCUUCGUUUAGAUGAUUGUAACAUUUGACCGAGUUUAGGGUUUUCGUAAAGCUUACUUUUUUUUUAUCUUUUCAGUUUGACGAUGGAUGUGUACAUUACCUUAAGAUUUCACCAUGGUGGAAAACUACAACAAAAAUCUCGUAUUAAGUAUGAAGGAGGUAUUGUCACUGAUUAUUUUGAUGUAGAUGUUGAUAAAUUGUCCUACUUUAAAUUUAUUGAUAUAGUUAAUGAAAUUGGCUAUAACUGUUCUGCUUGUGUUGUUUAUAUUAAACCAACUAAAUGUCGGCGUGUUGUUGAAGUUAAAAGUGAUAGGGAUAUUAUGGGUAUUGUACAUCAAUUAAAAAAUGGAGAUUAUUGUUGAACUUUAUGUGACUCAUUUAGUUAAAGAAGUUGUUUUUUCUUUCCCCCCCCCCCCCCCCCCCCCCCCCGGAAAUUGGAUAUCUAAAUGAUGUGGGUGGGGAAUCUAAUACUACUUUUGAUAAGGAAUCUAGUCAAACUUUUGAGGGUAGUAAAGGUUUAGGAUUUGAAGAGGCUGCACAACCUGAAGAACCUAUUGUGGGUGAAGAGUUGGGUGAAGUGUUGGGUAGGACUUCUGCUAUUGUUGGAGAGGACUUGGGUAGGGUUUCUACUGGUGUUAGAGAGGACUUGGGCAGGGCUUCUGUUAGUGUUGGAGAAGACUUGGGUGGUACUUCUUCUGCUGCUGCUGCAUCUGAUAUUCCAGAAGUUGGGUCUGAUUGAGAAAGUGAAACAGAAGCAAGUGAUGAUUCGGACAAUGCAGAUUUGUCUGAUGAAGGAGAAGAUGAGUAUGGUAGUGAUAGUUCAUGAGGAGGUUAUAAAAUCUUAGGAAAGAGAAAAAGGGCUGCUAAAAUAAAAAAGAGAAAAGAAAAGGGCCCUAGAUCUGAAGGAGUUGAUGUAGGAAAAAAAGGGGUUGAUUUGGGGUAUGAUGAAUAUUUAUCCAAGAAACAAACUACUUUUGAGGGUAAGAUAGCUGGAGAUGAGCCUUACUUUGAUUCAGAUGAAGCUGUUAGUUUUGAAUUAGAUCCUGAUGAAGAGGUUAAUGAGGAAGAUGAGGUUGAACAACCUAUAAGAAGACAAAGAAAAGCUAGAAGAGCAAAAAGAAAGAAAAAGAAAGUUGUAUUUGAUCCUACCUGUCAGUUAAUAGUUUGGGAGACUGGUCUUGCUUUUUGAAAGUGUUAAGCAGUUUAGAGAAGCUAUUACUAGAUAUGCAGUUCAAGAACAUGUUGAAUUAGAUAAUAUGUUAAUGAUGCAACUAGGGUGAGGGUAAAGUACACAGCUGGUUGUCCAUGGUUGUUGUUUGGAAGUAUUGAUUCAAGAACAAGAGAUUUUUGUGGUGAAGAAUUAUAAUCCAGUACAUAAAUGUAAUGGCACAACCAAAAAUAAAUUGGUGAAUUCAAAGUACUUAUCAGAAAGGUACAAGGACAGAAUUGUUUCUGAGCCUGGCAUUAGAGUUUUUCAAUUUCAAAUUUUAGUGAAGAAAGAGUUGAAUGUGUAUGUAGGAAGGACUGUAGCAAGGAAAGCUAGAAUUAUUGUGUUGAAACAAAUUAUGGGUGAUCAUGUGGAGGAGUUUAAAAGAAUUUUAGAUUAUAGAGAUGAGCUCUUAAAGACUAAUUCAGGCAGCACAUGUGUGGUGAGACUUAGUGAAGAAACUUUUGAAAGUGGCAGAAAAAUGUUUCAAUCAUUUUACAUAUGCUUUGAUGCUUUAAAGAAGGCAUUCAAAGCUGGAGCUAGAAGAUGUAUAGGAUUUGAUGGUUGCUUCUUGAAAGGUGUUUCUAAAGGUCAAUUACUUGUGGCUAUUUGUAAGGAUGGGAACAACCAAAUGCUACCACUAGCAUGGGCAGUUGUUGAGGUUGAAAACACAUUCACUUGGAAAUGGUUUAUCAAGCUUGUAAGACAUGAUCUUGAGCUAGGAGAUUGAACAGAAUUGACAACCAUUAUUGAUAUGCAGAAGGUAUUUUUAUUUUCUUUUUCAUUUAUUCAUUUAUUUUCUUUUUCAUUUAUUCAUUAAGUUAGAUCUCAUGUUAUUCUAAAUAUUGUUGUUAAAGGGUCUUGACAAAGCUAUUCAAGAUCGUAUGCCAAAUGCAGAACAAAGAAUGUGUGCAAGACAUGUUCUAGCCAACUGGUCUAAGAAUUGAAAAGGCAUUGAAAGAAGAAAUUAUUUUUGGAGAUGUGCCAAAUCUACAUACGAACAAGAAUUGAAAAGAAAUUUGGGUCAUAUGGAGAAGUUAGGCACUGGAAUAUGUGAUGACUUAUUGUGGUACAAUAUAGAGAGGUGGUCUAAAUUAUACUUCAAGUUUUUCAGCUGUUGUGAUAGUGUUGACAACAACAUGGCUGAAAGCUUUAAUUCAUGGAUUUUGGGGCCAAGACACAAAACUAUCAUCACAAUGCUUGAAGAAAUAAGGAUCAAAGUGAUGAGAAGAAUAGGACAAUUGAGGGAGUUAUGUGAUACUUGGAUAACAAACAUAUCUCCAUUGGCCCUAAAGGUAUUGAAAGAUAACACAACAAAAUCAAUGAAGUGUAACCUUGAAUGGAAUGGUGAAUAUGAUUUUGAGGUUAAAGACAGCUGGGAUAACACAUUUGUUGUGAAUCUAGGCAAUCAAACAUGUACCUGUAGAUCUUGGAUGCUAAGAGUUAUACCUUGUUGCCAUGUUAUAUCUGCAUUUCAUUUUAGAAAAUUGGAGCCCAUUAACUAUGUUGCACAUUGGUAUAGCAAGGAGACUUAUCUCAAGGUCUAUAGUCGCUACAUUCAACCAGUUACUAACAUGAAAAUGUGGCCACAGUCGACCAAUCCUUCUGUUAUACCACAUGUUAUAAAAACACUACCAUGAAGACCUAGAAAGUGUAGGAGAAAGGAGCAGAAUGAAAACAAAACAGAAAAAUUGUCCAAGAGAGGUGUUGAGAUGACCUGCAGUCUUUGUCAUACAAAGGGUCAUAAAAGGGGUUGUCAUUUGAAUAAUCAAGCUAAUGCAGGCAGAGGAAGAGGAAAUGGGAGAGGAUGUGAGACUAGUUCAACAAGGUCAAGUGUUGGUUCUUCUAGAGCACCAACUGAAUCACAAUCAAGCACAAAGAGAGGAAGAGGUCGACCAAGAGGUUCUACAAAACAUGUAAUGUUUAUAGUAAUUCAUUUAGUUGUUAAUUUACAUCUUAAUCAGUCUAAUAUUUUUGUUGAUCAACUUAUGUUAUAGGCUAGUGCUACUGAAAGGGGAAGAGGAACUGCAACUGGUAAUAGAACAGGGAUUGGUAUUGAUGUUGAUGGUUCUGGUGCCACUGAAAGGGGAAGAGGAACUGGAACUGGUUUAGCUGGAAGGGGAAGAGGAACUGCAACUGGUGUAGCUGGAAGGGGAAGAGGAACUGGUGUAGCUGCUACUGCUACUGAUGUUCCUGGUGCUACUGGAGGAGGGAAGAGGCCAAGAAUGGUUGGAAUGGGGAUACGACAUACACAGAGUGGUUUUACAAUCCACAAUGUAAGUUGUCUUAAUUAUUUACACACUUUUAAAUUUUAACUUAUGAAGCAUCUAAGAAAACAUAUUUUUGUGAAUCUAGCCUGGAAUGCCUAUGAACUCUUCAAUAGUGACUGAAAAUCUUGGGUAUCAUAAAUCAAGAUCAGGCUUAAAAUGGAAAGGAAAGGCUGUUGUAAACUCAACAAGGUCUUCAAGAGAUGAGAGAAAUAAAGAAUGAGAACAAGGUCCAAUGCUGCUGAAGUUUGAUAUGGAGACUGCUUUAGUUUGAUAUUUUAGCUGUUUUUGGAACAAUUAUGCAGUUGUGACUGCAUUAGUUUGAUCUGUUUGAUUUUGAAACAAUUAUGUUGCAGCUGUGACUGCAUUAGUUUGAUCUAUGUUUGUUUUUGAAACAAUUAUGCAGUUGUGACUGCAUUAGUUUGAUAUUUUAGCUGUCUCUUUUUGAAACAAUUAUGCA